ACCUUCCAGAUUCCUUUCCCCUGAGAUCUAAAUAUUGUUCUAAGUGGCUAAAAUGGAGGAAAAGUAAAACUGAAGUGGGCUUGGGAGUCCUUAAUGACAUGCAAGCUCAUUUCAGACAUGA